rnacentral:rRNA from 1 species
GAUAAACGCUGGCGGCGUGCCUAAUACAUGCAAGUCGAGCGAACGGACGAGAAGCUUGCUUCUCUGAUGUUAGCGGCGGACGGGUGAGUAACACGUGGAUAACCUACCUAUAAGACUGGGAUAACUUCGGGAAACCGGAGCUAAUACCGGAUAAUAUUUUGAACCGCAUGGUUCAAAAGUGAAAGACGGUCUUGCUGUCACUUAUAGAUGGAUCCGCGCUGCAUUAGCUAGUUGGUAAGGUAACGGCUUACCAAGGCAACGAUGCAUAGCCGACCUGAGAGGGUGAUCGGCCACACUGGAACUGAGACACGGUCCAGACUCCUACGGGAGGCAGCAGUAGGGAAUCUUCCGCAAUGGGCGAAAGCCUGACGGAGCAACGCCGCGUGAGUGAUGAAGGUCUUCGGAUCGUAGAACUCUGUUAUUAGGGAAGAACAUAUGUGUAAGUAACUGUGCACAUCUUGACGGUACCUAAUCAGAAAGCCACGGCUAACUACGUGCCAGCAGCCGCGGUAAUACGUAGGUGGCAAGCGUUAUCCGGAAUUAUUUGGGCGUAAGCGCGCGUAGGCGGUUUUUUAAGUCUGAUGUGAAAGCCCACGGCUCAACCGUGGAGGGUCAUUGGAAACUGGAAAACUUGAGUGCAGAAGAGGAAAGUGGAAUUCCAUGUGUAGCGGUGAAAUGCGCAGAGAUAUGGAGGAACACCAGUGGCGAAGGCGACUUUCUGGUCUGUAACUGACGCUGAUGUGCGAAAGCGUGGGGAUCAAACAGGAUUAGAUACCCUGGUAGUCCACGCCGUAAACGAUGAGUGCUAAGUGUUAGGGGGUUUCCGCCCCUUAGUGCUGCAGCUAACGCAUUAAGCACUCCGCCUGGGGAGUACGACCGCAAGGUUGAAACUCAAAGGAAUUGACGGGGACCCGCACAAGCGGUGGAGCAUGUGGUUUAAUUCGAAGCAACGCGAAGAACCUUACCAAAUCUUGACAUCCUUUGACAACUCUAGAGAUAGAGCCUUCCCCUUCGGGGGACAAAGUGACAGGUGGUGCAUGGUUGUCGUCAGCUCGUGUCGUGAGAUGUUGGGUUAAGUCCCGCAACGAGCGCAACCCUUAAGCUUAGUUGCCAUCAUUAAGUUGGGCACUCUAAGUUGACUGCCGGUGACAAACCGGAGGAAGGUGGGGAUGACGUCAAAUCAUCAUGCCCCUUAUGAUUUGGGCUACACACGUGCUACAAUGGACAAUACAAAGGGCAGCGAAACCGCGAGGUCAAGCAAAUCCCAUAAAGUUGUUCUCAGUUCGGAUUGUAGUCUGCAACUCGACUACAUGAAGCUGGAAUCGCUAGUAAUCGUAGAUCAGCAUGCUACGGUGAAUACGUUCCCGGGUCU